rnacentral:rRNA from 1 species
GACGAACGCUGGCGGCGUGCUUAACACAUGCAAGUCGAACGGAAAGGCCUGCUUUCCCUUGUGGAUUGCGGGUACUCGAGUGGCGAACGGGUGAGUAACACGUGAGUGAUCUGCCCCCAACUUGGGUAUAAGCCUGGGAAACUGGGUCUAAUUCCCGAUAGGACUGCAGGGUGGUGCCUGUGGUGGAAAACGAUUUUCUAGUGGUUGGGGAUGAGCUCGCGGCCUAUCAGCUUGUUGGUGGGGUAAUGGCCUACCAAGGCGGCGACGGGUAGCCGGCCUGAGAGGGUGGACAGCCACAUUGGGACUGAGAUACGGCCCAGACUCCUACGGGAGGCAGCAGUGGGGAAUAUUGCACAAUGGGCGGAAGCCUGAUGCAGCGACGCCGCGUGGGGGAUGACGGCCUUCGGGUUGUAAACUCCUUUCGACCGCGAGGAAGCCACCUGGUUGGAAGGGUGGUGACGGUAGUGGUAGAAGAAGCACCGGCUAACUACGUG